UUCAGCCAGGAGAGCGCUGAAGGGAUCUGAGCUGAAAGCAAGUCUCAAACUCAGAGAAUGGAGGAGCUGCCCCGGAAGUGGCUGCUCGAGGCUGCAGUGAACUAUGAUCCUGCGGCCAAUCGCGGUGGCUCACGCCUGUAAUCCCAGCCCUCUGGGAGGCCGAGGCGGGCGGAUCGCUUGAGGUCAGAAGUUCGACACUAGCCUGGCCAACGUGGUAAAACACCCUCUCUACAAAAAAAUGCAAAAAUCAGUUGGGUGUGGUGGCGCGCGCCUGUGGUCCCAGCUACUCAGGAGGCUGAGGUGGGAGGAACGCUUGAGCCUGGGAGGCGGAAGUUACAGUGAGUCGAGAUCGCCCCACUGCACUCCAGCCUGGACAAGAGAAUGAGACCCUGCCUAAAAAUAAAAUACAUGAGCCGA
rnacentral:lncRNA from 1 species